GAUGAACGCUGGCGGCGUGCCUAAUACAUGCAAGUCGAGCGAACGGACGAGAAGCUUGCUUUUCUGAUGUUAGCGGCGGACGGGUGAGUAACACGUGGAUAACCUACCUAUAAGACUGGGAUAACUUCGGGAAACCGGCGCUAAUACCGGAUAAUAUUUUGAACCGCAUGGUUCAAAAGUGAAAGACGGUCUUGCUGUCACUUAUAGAUGGAUCCGCGCUUCAUUAGAUAGUUGGUAAGUUAACGGCUUAUCAAGGCAACGAUGCAUAGACGACGUGAGAGGGUGAUCGGCCACACGGGAGCUGAGACACGCACAAGACGCCUACGAGAGGCAGCAGUAGGCAAUCGUCCGCAAUGGGGGAAAAUAUGACGGAGCAGCGCCGCGUCAGUGAUGACGGUCUUCGGAUCGUAAAACUCUGUUAUGAGGGAAGAACAUAUGUGUAAGGAACUGUGCACAUCUUGACGGUACCUAAUCAGAAAGCCACGGCUAACUACGUG
rnacentral:rRNA from 1 species